GAGUUUGAUCCUGGCUCAGGAUGAACGCUGGCGGCGUGCUUAACACAUGCAAGUCGAACGGGAUCCAUCAGGCUUUGCUUGGUGGUGAGAGUGGCGAACGGGUGAGUAAUGCGUGACCGACCUGCCCCAUACACCGGAAUAGCUCCUGGAAACGGGUGGUAAUGCCGGAUGCUCCGACUCCUCGCAUGGGGUGUCGGGAAAGAUUUCAUCGGUAUGGGAUGGGGUCGCGUCCUAUCAGGUAGUCGGCGGGGUAACGGCCCACCGAGCCUACGACGGGUAGCCGGCCUGAGAGGGCGACCGGCCACAUUGGGACUGAGAUACGGCCCAGACUCCUACGGGAGGCAGCAGUGGGGAAUAUUGCACAAUGGGCGCAAGCCUGAUGCAGCGACGCCGCGUGCGGGAUGACGGCCUUCGGGUUGUAAACCGCUUUUGACUGGGAGCAAGCCCUUCGGGGUGAGUGUACCUUUCGAAUAAGCACCGGCUAACUACGUGCCAGCCGCCGCGGUAAUUC
rnacentral:rRNA from 1 species